GUCCUGCAACGAGCGCAACCCUUUUCCUUAUUUGCCAGCGGGUUAAGCCGGGAACUUUAAGGAUACUGCCAGUGACAAACUGGAGGACGGCGGGGACGACGUCAAGUCAUCAUGGCCCUUACGACCAGGGCUACACACGUGCUCCAAUGGUCGGUACAAAGGGUUGCUACCUGGCGAUAGGAUGCUAAUCUAAAAAAGCCGUUCGUAGUCCGGAUUGGAGUCUGCAACUCGCCUCCAUGAAGUCGGAAUCGCUAGUAAUCGCGGAUCAGAAUGCCGCGGUGAAUACGUUCCCGGGCCUUGUACACACCGCCCGUCACACCAUGGGAAUUUGUUGCACCAGAAGUAGGUAGUCUAACCGCAAGGAGGACGCUGCCAACGGGUGC
rnacentral:rRNA from 1 species